CGGCUGGUCCCUCUAGCAAGCGCGCGGGUAUAGGUGCGGCGGCAGCAACUGGACUAGGCACAGGCAGGAGCUCCCUCCAGCCGGUACCACCAGGCACGAGCAGGGCGGAAGGUGGGACAAGGAGGGUAAUCGCCAGGUGUGGUGGCGCCCUCAGUCCCUCGUAGUACGGGAUGGGCGGCACGUGCUGGCUGGCAGCGGCGGCUUCUGAGAGGUUGGAUUCCACUUACCUCGAACACAACAACCAUCUUGUGGCAACUACUGAAGAAGGAUACAACUUCUCGUACAAGGCACCAUAGGUUCUCAUCUAUCGAAAUUGAACCGUCUCGCAAAAUAAAAAGUUAACGUUAUAAACACUAACACACCUUAUAACAUACCAAUACAUGCACUUCAAAAUACAAGGACCCGUACGUUGUAAACAUCCAAUUUGACCAACAACACUACACUUGGUUACAUACCUCAAGGUGUACAAGAUAAU
rnacentral:rRNA from 1 species